UGGGGAAUUUUGGACAAUGGGCGCAAGCCUGAUCCAGCCAUUCCGCGUGCAGGAUGAAGGCCCUCGGGUUGUAAACUGCUUUUGUACGGAACGAAAAGGCUUUCUCUAAUACAGAGAGCUCAUGACGGUACCGUAAGAAUAAGCACCGGCUAACUACGUGCCAGCAGCCGCGGUAAUACGUAGGGUGCAAGCGUUAAUCGGAAUUACUGGGCGUAAAGCGUGCGCAGGCGGUGAUGUAAGACAGAUGUGAAAUCCCCGGGCUCAACCUGGGAACUGCAUUUGUGACUGCAUCGCUGGAGUGCGGCAGAGGGGGGAUGGAAUUCCGCGUGUAGCAGUGAAAUGCGUAGAUAUGCGGAGGAACACCGAUGGCGAAGGCAAUCCCCUGGGCCUGCACUGACGCUCAUGCACGAAAGCGUGGGGAGCAAACAGGAUUAGAUACCCUGGUAGUCCACGCCCUAAACGAUGUCAACUGGUUGUUGGGUCUUCACUGACUCAGUAACGAAGCUAACGCGUGAAGUUGACCGCCUGGGGAGUACGGCCGCAAGGUUGAAACUCAAAUGAAUUGAC
rnacentral:rRNA from 1 species